GCGGGCAAAGCUGCCGGCCUAACCGAACCGGUCCCCGGCUGGCCACUUUUCGGGCGUUCGGGGUUUCUCUUUUCUUGCCCUCGGAUUCUAUGACGUUACUAGAUGAUAUGUUUAAAAUAGUAUCAAAAGAAAUGAGACCCUAGCAGCUGGAAAACCCAGGUGAAGCCCAUUUGGUACAGGCGCAGCGCGGAGCUCCCCAGCACCGGAGGAGGCCCGAGGCCCCGAGGUUCCCAGCCCCAGGCCCUGGGCCCGCUCGGGACGCCUCUCCCUGAGGAGCCCAGGUUCAAACCAAAGAACAAGUAGGAUUCUCAGAACUGUGGAACUUCGUCCUUUCAUUUUAGAUUCUCCUGCCUUUGCUUAAUGGAGUCUGUGAAACUUUCCUUAUGAACCCAAGUGACCCCUUCCUGCACCAGUCUGGCCUCCUUCCCUGCACAGAAUGGGCUCUUCUCCAGAGGAACUGGAGCUCCAGCCAGUUCUAGACUCUUCUUUGCUUUCAGACCUCAAGACGAGAAGCAUUUUCCCAGUCCACACGUGUCAGAGGAUGUUGCAGAUGGGGUGUGAUUUGCCCAGGUUGGAAUCAGCUCCUUUGUCUGAGUAAAAGGACCACCAUGGGGGUGCAGCACUCCCUCUGUCAGAAGCACAGAAGCAAAUGGUCAGCCUGUGGUCUUUUCCCUUAAGACGUGCCCUUUUUGCCACUGCUGGGGAAGGAGCCAGUUUUUUGCAAUUCAGUUGUGAUUUACCCUUUG